GAUGAACGCUGGCGGCGUGCCUAAUACAUGCAAGUCGAGCGAAGCGGGGACGGGGGAGUAACAUGUGGAUAACAUCCUAUAAGACUGGGAGAACUUCGGGAAACCGGUGCUAAACCGGCUAAUUAUCGCUGGCUCCACACUGCAUUAGCUAGUUGGUAAGGUAACGGCUAACAAGGGCAACGAUGCAUAGCGGACCUGAGAGGGUGAGCGGCCACACUGGAACUGAGACACGGGCCAGACUCCUACGGGAGGCAGCAGGAGGGAAUAUUCCGCAAUGGGCGAAAGCCUGACGGAGCAACGCCGCGUGAGUGAAGAAGGUCUUCGGAUUGUAAAACUCUGUUAUUAGGGAAGCGUUACCUAAUCAGAAAGCAACGGCUAACUACGUGCCAGCAGCCGCGGUAAUUC
rnacentral:rRNA from 1 species